AGCAGUUUUUCUUCUUUUAUUGCUUAAACCUCUAAACAGGCUUGACAUUUUUUUUUCUUUCCUCCUUCCCUCCCUUACAGAUUCUAGUAAAGAAGUACUUGUAUGAAGAAGAUAUAAGCAAUGCCAGCAUCUAUAUAGUGUUCUUACUGAUUUGACGAUGUCCUUAGGUUGUCUUUGAACUUGAAAAUCUCUAUACAUUAUUAUUGCAGGACCUAUAAACUAUGAUUGUUUUGUAGUUCUCUUGCACUAUCUUUACAAUGUUCUUUAAAGAACAAAGUUUCACUGGUUACUUUAUAUAUUUCAAAUGAACUAGGAGUGAUUUAAAACUUACAUAGUUGCUGUUCAGAAAAUGUCAAAAAAGAAGAGCUUGUAUAAGUUACAAUGUAGAUAAAUUUAAUUCUAUUGAGGGGAUAAUAUCCUUUUAAGAUACAGUGUAGAUAAAUUUAAUUCUAUUGAGGGGGUGAUAUCCUUUAAACCAAACUUGUCUAAAGUUUUCACCAAAUGUUAAACUGAGUAAUGUUUCGUUUUUAUCCAUUUAAUUUUUUUAUAUUGGAGGAAUCUUAAAGGAAAAUUGCAUUAUCUUUUUCCAGUUUUAUUAAAUCAUAUAGUAAAUGUGAACUGAAAAUUUAAACAGUAGAGGAAGAUACAGAAUAAGAGUUGAAGAUUUUUUAUAUCCCUAGGUAUAAAUUUUAAGUGUAUGUAAUCCUAUGCCUUUUUCUGUGCACUUUCACACAUAUACAGAUGUAUCUAUGUAAUUUUGUUUUGCAUAAAUGAGAUCAUUGUAAAAAUAUUGUUUGAAACUUUCUUUUUAAAUUAAUAGUCCAUCAUAGAUUCUUUUCAUGUUAAUACACAUAUAGUUAUCUUACUCCUUAAAUGGCUGUGAGUCUUCUCUUGUCAGGUAUCAGGACUUAAUUGCUUUCCAGUUUAUGGAAAUUUUGGUUGUGUCCAAAGUUCUGCUGUUAGAAACAAUACUGAAGUGGACUCUUUUAUAUUGUUUCUGUAUUGUGGUAAGAUGUAUUCCAGAGGUAAAACUGCUAGACUAAAGGUAUGGGAAUUUGUUUCUGUAACUGACAUUUUAUUGUGUGCGUCAGCACCAUAUUUUAAAAACUAGUGAUUUUGUAGUGGUGUAGGAUCUGCUAGGUCAAACAUCAACUUUCAAGCCAUGUUCGUAUCUGUUCUUUUUGGAUAUCCCUCUCUGUUGACUACUUUAUCCAUAAAAGGGCCAGAUCAUAUAUCACCUCUUUCCUGAAGGUGUUUGUAACACCUAGCACAUUGAAUAAUUUUAACCCUAAUAAUAGUUUAGUGAGUGCUUACUAUGUGCCAGCCACAAUUCUAAUUGGUUUAUGUGUAUUACACUGCUGCAUAUCAUUUAAUCUUCCCAAUUCUAAGAGGUACAUAGUAUCUACAUUUUAUAGUUGAAAAAAUCAAGGCAAAGAAUAAGUAACUUGUUCAAGGUCACAGUAAAUGACGGAAAUGGAAUAUCAGCAUGGGUAGUCUCAUAUGAAAGUCUGCUUUCUUAACUCAUACUGUACUACUUCCUUACUAUCCUUUUAUGGCCUCCCUAUGCUCAAGAAAUAUGUUUUGUAUGCAUUGUAGAGUUCACUAGCCAUUUCAUCUUGCUUCUAGGUCCUCUUUACAGAUCUGCAUGAAUACCAUCUUACUCAAAUUUGUGUAUGGUGACCUAUCCCCAAGUAGAAUAACCAGAGAGAAAUGAUGGAGUAAGGAGGGUUGUGGAAGACCUCCUUACUCCAAAACACUUUACCUGAAUGUAGCUAGUUAAUACUGCUCUGUUUUAUUUCAUCUUGUUUCCCUAAACCCUGUCUUGGGGAAAUUCAUGGAUUGAUCUUGGGAUGGAUUUCAUAGGUGGAAUAAAUGGGUAUGUUACUCUUCACUAUUUUUGAAACAUCAAAUCAAAAUACAUACCUUGUAGAUGACCUCUUACAGUAAGUGCUCAAAAUGUGAGGUGGGAAGAAUGCUGUUUUAGACCCUCCUACACCUCUUAAUUCAUGCUGUUGAGUGUGACAUGUAAAAACUAAAUAUCUCAGUCUCCCAUAACAGGGGCCUGGUAAUACUUUCUUUUGAGGGAGGUUAGGUGACCUAAUGUUUGUGAAAAUGUUUGUGACCUAUAAGGAUUUUCAUAAAUUAAUUGUUAAAACUGAAGUAUGAAUAAAAAUAGCCUUAUGAAAAUUCUGACUACUAAGAGGGUUGGCUAUUUGUUUUUUAUUUAGGAAAAUCUCUUAUUUUAAAUUUCUAAUUCUAUUAAAUUUAGUUAUCUAAUUGAAUUUAUAGAUUGCUAGUAAAUAUUUUCUGUUCCAAUUGUGCAUUUUGGUUAAUUGUUUUAGGUGGAGCUGAUAGUAGAUAAGGGGUUGGGAUUCUGUAAUAAAGAGUUCACAUAAUAGUUGUUUGGAUUAGAGGCCAUUUUUCAGAUUAUAUUCUGAAUUUAUUAACUUUUUAGAAUUUAUAUAGAAUAUGUUCUUAAAUUCCUUGAGAACUUAAAAAUUGGUAUUACUUUAUCAUACUGUUAAUAAAGAGGGAGAGAUAAGGGUUAUGGGAAAUGCACAUCCUUUUCUGACUCUUAGGUCCUUUUCUGGGAAUGUGAAAGCAAACCAUAUGCCUAUGGUGUCUCUGGUGUAGGCUUAGCAGAUAAUACUAGGGUUCUAGAUAAAAUGAAAAGUAUGAAGGCAAAGAUUUGAUCAUGCUGUUUUCUAAAUCUCAGGACCUUUAGAAUGUAUCUCUUAACUCACUUUAUGGACGCCUUUCACUUGUGCCUUUUCUUCCUUUUCUUACUCUACAUCCAGAUUCCCACCUCACAGUCCAAGAUCCUCUCUACCACUCAGUCCAGCUUUCUCGCUGCAACCCAAACUUCAGUACCUGGCUUCUCUUGGCCAGAUCGAAGUACUAUAAUAUGAUUUAAGUUGUGAAUGUGCCUUAGUAUGUGAGAUGUUUUUUCAUAUGAGGAGGUCCUUAACCUACUUUAGCUUAAUCACCAGAUCCUUUUGUCUUUUAUGCUAACACAUAAAAAACUCUACAGGCUUGGUAUUGCAGCUUUUUGUCUUCUCUGCAUGAGCAGUUUUGUUUUGUAUCCUAGGGAUCCCAGAAGAACAGCUUUGCUUGGCCAGGGUACCCAUUCAUUGGCUUAGGCAACCUAGAAUGUUAAGAUUCAUAUAUCUUAAUUACAUACUAAGGUCUUCCUGACCUCACUACCAUAAGCAGAAGUUUUUCUGAAAACCUUGAUCAGAGAGCAAGUAGGAAGAAGGGCCAGAUUCCAAUUUCAUUAAACCACAGGCAUAUGAAUACUUAACAAUUUCUGUGCUUCAAGAAAGUUACAUUUAAUUCUGAAAUAACCCAAUGCCUUUGUAUUUCUUUUCUUACACUAUUUCUCCUGGAAAAAGCAUGGUAUGGAAAGAGUUUGAAAUCAAGUUGGGCAAGUUACUUUUGAAUCCUGCUUUAAUACUCUGUGAUUUGGGGACAGUUACUACUUAACCUUGUUGUCUUCAUCUACCUUAGGGAUAAUGAUUUAUUUUUAACAGAGUUUUUCUAAAGAAUGGAGGUAAUCUACAUUAUUUAGCACACUAUACUACCUUCUGUGUUGGAGGUAAUUUAUUACUUAUUUUGACAUUUUACUGGAUUCUGGAUUUAGUUCUUAUGUAAUAUUUUGAAAUGAAGUUGUCAUUUUUUUUUUUUUUCCCUAGUCAGGAUCAAUUUUCUUUACUUUUUUAGGUCAUGGACUUUAGUUAGAUUGUAAUGAAAAAUGUAGACCUAUUCUUCUCCAACAUUUACUUAAAUACAUCAUACAACAUUUUGCCAAUUGAGGGGUAUAGAGUUUUUGAGGGGUAGGUAUGUGAGGUGUGAACCAUGCAAUAUGAACCUUAGCUCAAGAGUACUGGAUUUCAAGCUGGGUGCAGUGACUCACACCUGUAAUGACAGCCCUUUGGGAGGCCACGACAGAAGGAUUGCUUGAGGCUGGGAGUUUGAGACUAGCCUCGUCAACAUAGCAAUAACCCAUCUCUACAAAAAUUUAAAAAUUCGGUGGGUGUGGUGGCAUGUACUAGUAGUCCUAGCUACUUUGGAGGCUGAGGCAGGAGGAUUGCUUAAGCCCAGGAAUUUAAGGUUACAGUGGCAAUGAUGGAACCACUGCACUCCAGUCUAGGUGACAGAGUGAAACCCUGUCUGAAAAAGGAGUACUGGAUUUUGUUUUUUAUCCAUUGAGGAGUUAUUGACUAGCCUUUUCCUCUACUCUUUCCCCAGUAAUCGCAACAGUAACUACAGAAUUUUUCUUUGAGAGGUUUCUGUCAUAUAUAAGAGAAUUUUAAAAAAUAAUAAUUUGCUAGAAAAUUUUAAAUUAUAGUUGGGUAUGGUGGCUCACGCCUGUAAUCCCAGUACUUUGGGAGGCUGAGGCAAGAGGAUUGCUUGAGCUCGGGAGUUCGAAACCAGCCUGGGAAACAUGGUGAGACCCUGUGUCUAUUAAAACAGAAAAAAGAAAAGAAAAAAUUUUAAAUCAUUACCAACCUUCCCGUCUUCCUUCUUUUUCUUUCUGAAACUUUUGGAAUCCUGACUUAGAAAAAAACUAGUAAAGAGAUAAUAAGAUAUACUAAAUAAAGUUAUUAGCUAUUUCCUUAUUGUAUGUUUAACAAAUUUUAAAGGUAUAACUCGAUUUAUUCAGGCUUAUUUUAUAGUUAUUGACUGAAAUGAAAAAAAAAGGUGGAUUUAGUACAUUCCUUUAAUUUAUUUUCUUCUCAGUGUCCCACUGAUAUUGUUUAAAGAUUGAAUUAAGUCAUAAUUCUGAAAAGUGGGAACAGAUGUUAUUAUAUUAGUCAAACUACCCUUAAGAGGCACAAAAGGACUUCAUCAGCUCUAUAACUUUAAUGUGUACUUGGGUGUAUGUGGGGAGGGAGGCAAGAAACUGCAACUUAGGUGCAUAGAUGAAUCUAAACUUGAGUAGUGUUAGUAGUAUGACUGCAACCCUGUUACUGUCUCAACAUUUUUGGUCUGCGUUUCUUUCUGUAUCAGCUUUAUUUUCAGCCAAAGAUGACUGUCAGUCAAAGGAGAUGGGAAUGGGAUAUACUAGCUAGACCUAGGUAAUGUGGCCACUCCUGUGGUGGCUGGGAAGGCUUACCUCUACCCAAAGCACAUGAAUACAUUCCCCAUAAAAAAGAGGGAUGAUGUUAUUAGCAAAAGGGGUUAGGGAGAAAACAUGUUGAACAGUAAAAUUACAGUUCACAGUCCACUACAGGUACCAUCAGAGGACCAAGAAAUUUUGAAGAAGAUAGAAAGUUCAUGGAAUCGGAUUGACAGCAAAAUCCCAGAGGAAACUGGAACCCAAGAUAACAGAGACAGGGAUAAUCAGACAAUUGAGGAGAAUCAAGAGGAUGAAAGAAGAUUAAGAUGAAUAAAAGAACAACCAACCUCAGCUGUAAUUCAGAAGAAUACUUCAAAGAAAAGUGUAAUUGGUAUUUUAUUUAAAAUUUAAGAAUACGUAAUGUUUAGUUAUAGCUGCAUUAAAAAGGGGGCAUAGAACUAGAAAAGGUUUUGAAAAUUAUAAAGAAAAAUUUUAAUUGAUGAGAUAAAUAAAAUUUUAGCAUGAAU